rnacentral:rRNA from 1 species
AUGAACGCUGGCGGCGUGCCUCACACAUGCCAGUCGAGCGGCAGCGAGGGGUGCUUGCACCCUGUCGGCGAGCGGCGGACGGCUGAGUAACGCGUGGGAACGUGCCCCAAAGUGAGGAAUAACUGCCCGAAAGGGUAGCUAAUACCGCAUAUUAUCUUCGGAUCAAAGGAUUUAUCCGCUUUGGGAGCGGCUCGCGUCGGAUUAGGUAGUUGGUGAGGUAAUGGCUCACCAAGCCGACGAUCCGUAGCUGGUCUGAGAGGAUGACCAGCCAGACUGGAACUGAGACACGGUCCAGACUCCUACGGGAGGCAGCAGUGAGGAAUCUUCCACAAUGGGCGAAAGCCUGAUGGAGCAACGCCGCGUGCAGGACGAAGGCCUUCGGGUUGUAAACUGCUUUUAUAAGUGAGGAAUAUGACAGUAACUUAUGAAUAAGGAUCGGCUAACUACGUG